rnacentral:tRNA from 1 species
GGGACUAUAGUUAAUAAUAACAUUUGAGUUGCAUUCAAAAAGUGCUGCUUAUAGCAGUUAGCCUCA